rnacentral:rRNA from 1 species
AGGUAGAGAAUACCAAGGCGCUUGAGAGAACUCGGGUGAAGGAACUAGGCAAAAUGGUGCCGUAACUUCGGGAGAAGGCACGCUGAUAUGUAGGUGAAGCGACUUGCUCGUGGAGCUGAAAUCAGUCGAAGAUACCAGCUGGCUGCAACUGUUUAUUAAAAACACAGCACUGUGCAAACACGAAAGUGGACGUAUACGGUGUGACGCCUGCCCGGUGCCGGAAGGUUAAUUGAUGGGGUCAGCCGCAAGGCGAAGCUCUUGAUCGAAGCCCCGGUAAACGGCGGCCGUAACUAUAACGGUCCUAAGGUAGCGAAAUUCCUUGUCGGGUAAGUUCCGACCUGCACGAAUGGCGUAAUGAUGGCCAGGCUGUCUCCACCCGAGACUCAGUGAAAUUGAACUCGCUGUGAAGAUGCAGUGUACCCGCGGCAAGACGGAAAGACCCCGUGAACCUUUACUAUAGCUUGACACUGAACAUUGAGCCUUGAUGUGUAGGAUAGGUGGGAGGCUUUGAAGCGUGGACGCCAGUCUGCGUGGAGCCGACCUUGAAAUACCACCCUUUAAUGUUUGAUGUUCUAACGUGGACCCGUGAUCCGGGUUGCGGACAGUGUCUGGUGGGUAGUUUGACUGGGGCGGUCUCCUCCUAAAGAGUAACGGAGGAGCACGAAGGUUGGCUAAUCCUGGUCGGACAUCAGGAGGUUAGUGCAAUGGCAUAAGCCAGCUUGACUGCGAGCGUGACGGCGCGAGCAGGUGCGAAAGCAGGUCAUAGUGAUCCGGUGGUUCUGAAUGGAAGGGCCAUCGCUCAACGGAUAAAAGGUACUCCGGGGAUAACAGGCUGAUACCGCCCAAGAGUUCAUAUCGACGGCGGUGUUUGGCACCUCGAUGUCGGCUCAUCACAUCCUGGGGCUGAAGUAGGUCCCAAGGGUAUGGCUGUUCGCCAUUUAAAGUGGUACGCGAGCUGGGUUUAGAACGUCGUGAGACAGUUCGGUCCCUAUCUGCCGUGGGCGCUGGAGAACUGAGGGGGGCUGCUCCUAGUACGAGAGGACCGGAGUGGACGCAUCACUGGUGUUCGGGUUGUCAUGCCAAUGGCACUGCCCGGUAGCUAAAUGCGGAAGAGAUAAGUGCUGAAAGCAUCUAAGCACGAAACUUGCCCCGAGAUGAGUUCUCCCUGACUCCUUGAGAGUCCUGAAGGAACGUUGAAGACGACGACGUUGAUAGGCCGGGUGUGUAAGCGCAGCGAUGCGUUGAGCUAACCGGUACUAAUGAACCGUGAGGCUUAACCUU